UUAUGUUGAACAUGUUUUGGAUAUUGUUGUAAUCCACUCUUAUUUUGGGCGAGUCCUCCAAAGAUUUCCAUUGGGAAUUGUUUGUCUGUUGCCGCCAACAGAGGGCGGAGUGCAGCAGUUUGCUUUGUCUCCCCUCUAAGAACCAAUUUAUGCAUGAUCUGAAAAUGUGGUUGGAGGCGCCAUAUGGAUGGUCUGAUGCAAAUGUGGAUCCUCUGGAGGCAGAGGCAAAUUGAGCUCUGUACCGCAUCGCCAUGCACUUCUCAAAUUUUGUAACAACGAGGAGGGCUUGGUAUAGCUCCGCAUUGACAUGACGGUAGGUGAGUGCAGGAGGUCCUGUAUAAACACACCCUCACUUCCUUGACAACUUGCUUCAGAACAGCUCUGUGCUGCUUGGCGACGCACAAGAAGUAUUAAUGCCCUAAAUGCUGCACGGCCAAUGCAGAUCUCAGAUUGACCAUGGAGCCUCUUUAACGAGUGGAAUACGCCUGUGACAACUUUAACCGAUUCCUCCUGUCUCCAUCUUAUUUCUUCUGAUUAACAGAGGUUAUUGUUGAGGUGCUUGCACAGCCAUCAUUGCCAUCAUCAUGUACCUGACACUGCUGACACAUCAAAGGUCAAAAAUCUGUCACGGAUUCCCCGGUACUGCUGCUCAUUCUGUUCACCAGCUCAGGAUGUCUACGUCACUGCCUUCUAGGCGUCACUGAACUGGAUCAUUACCACCAACUCUGGACUGUCUUGUCUCAUUAUGCACACACGGUUCCCAUUCCCCCUGAUUAGUAUGCAUAUAUAUGUGCCGUCUGUUCCUCAUUGUCCUUGUUGAUUAUUGUUCCCAUGUCCGUUGGUCUGAGUACCUGUGCUCUGUUGUAUCGGCUUGCAUGUUACCGUGUUAUUAAGGGUCUCGUCCCAUGUAUUUCUUAGAGGUUAACACCUCACUCUUUGUUUUGGGUUGCAGCCUUGUUAUAUACACGUGUUUGUCUUGGGGUUCGACCCCGUCAUGUUCAUGACAUGCGCUCUUUUGGGAAGAGAAAUAAAAAAACAUAUUUUCGUG